rnacentral:rRNA from 1 species
GACGAACGCUGGCGGCGUGCUUAACACAUGCAAGUCGAACGGAAAGGCCCCUUCUGGGGUACUUGAGUGGCGAACAGGUGAGUAACACGUGCGUAACCUGUCCUUGACUUCGGGAUAACUUCAGGAUACUGGGGCUAAUACCGGAUAGGAAUCCUUGCUGCAUGGUGGGGGUUGGGAAGCUUCGGCGGUUUUGGAUGGAUUCGCGGCUUAUCUGCUUGUUGGUGGGGGAGUGGCUUACCCAGGAUUUGACGGGCAGCCGGCCGGGGGGGGCGACCGGCCACAUUGGGGCUUGGAUACGGCCCAGGAUCCUACGGGAGGCAACGAGUGGGAAAAUUGCACAAUGGGCGGAAGCCUGAUGCAACAACGGCGCGGGCAGGAUGACGGGCUUCGGGUUGGAAACCGCUUUCAGCAGGGGCGAAGCUUGUGGUGACGGUACCUGCAGAAGAAGCGCCGGCUAACUACGUG